rnacentral:rRNA from 1 species
CAUAUGCUUGUCUCAAAGAUUAAGCCAUGCAUGUCUAAGUAUAAGCAAUUAUACAGCGAAACUGCGAAUGGCUCAUUAUAUAAGUUAUCGUUUAUUUGAUAGUACCUUACUACUUGGAUAACCGUGGUAAUUCUAGAGCUAAUACAUGCUAAAAAUCCCGACUCCGGAAGGGAUGUAUUUAUUAGAUUAAAAACCAAUGCCCUCUGGGCUCCUUGGUGAUUCAUGAUAACUCUUCGAAUCGCACGGCCUUGCGCCGGCGAUGGUUCAUUCAAAUUUCUUCCCUAUCAACUUUCGAUGUUUGGGUAUUGGCCAAACAUGGUUGCAACGGGUAACGGAGGGUUAGGGCUCGACCCCGGAGAAGGAGCCUGAGAAACGGCUACUACAUCCAAGGAAGGCAGCAGGCGCGCAAAUUACCCAAUCCCGAUUCGGGGAGGUAGUGACAAUAAAUACUGAUACAGGGCUCUUUUGGGUCUUGUAAUUGGAAUGAGUACAAUUUAAAUCUCUUAACGAGGAACAAUUGGAGGGCAAGUCUGGUGCCAGCAGCCGCGGUAAUUCCAGCUCCAAUAGCGUAUAUUAAAGUUGUUGUGGUUAAAAAGCUCGUAGUUGAACCUUGGGCCUGGCUGGCCGGUCCGCCUCACCGCGUGCACUGGUCCGGCCGGGCCUUUCCCUCUGUGGAACCCCAUGCCCUUCACUGGGCGUGGCGGGGAAACAGGACGUUUACUUUGAAAAAAUUAGAGUGCUUCAGGCAGGCCUAUGCUCGAAUACAUUAGCAUGGAAUAAUGAAAUAGGACGCGUGGUUCUAUUUUGUUGGUUUCUAGGACCGCCGUAAUGAUUAAUAGGGACAGUCGGGGGCAUCAGUAUUCAAUUGUCAGAGGUGAAAUUCUUGGAUUUAUUGAAGACUAACUACUGCGAAAGCAUUUGCCAAGGAUGUUUUCAUUAAUCAGGAACGAAAGUUAGGGGAUCGAAGACGAUCAGAUACCGUCGUAGUCUUAACCAUAAACUAUGCCGACUAGGGAUCGGACGAUGUUAUUUUUUGACGCGUUCGGCACCUUACGAGAAAUCAAAGUGCUUGGGCUCCAGGGGGAG